UACGAAGGGGGCUAGCGUUGUUCGGAAUCACUGGGCGUAAAGCGCAUGCAGGCGGCUCGUUAAGUCGGGGGUGAAAGCCCGCGGCUCAACCUCGGAACUGCCUUCGAUACUGGCGAUCUUGAGUCCGGGAGAGGUGAGUGGAACUCCGAGUGUAGAGGUGAAAUUCGUAGAUAUUCGGAAGAACACCAGUGGCGAAGGCGGCUCACUGGCCCGGUACUGACGCUGAGAUGCGAAAGCGUGGGGAGCAAACAGG
rnacentral:rRNA from 1 species